rnacentral:rRNA from 1 species
AAUCAACGCUGGCGGCGUGCCUCAGACAUGCAAGUCGAACGAUUAAAGCUCUCUUCGGAGAGUGCAUAGAGUGGCGCACGGGUGAGUAACACGUAAGUAAUCUACCCUCGAGUGGGGAAUAACGACCGGAAACGGGCGCCAAUACCGCAUAAUGCAGCGGCAUCACAAGAUGACAGAUGUUAAAGAUUUAUCGCUUGAGGAGGAGCUUGCGGCAGAUUAGCUAGUUGGGAAGGUAACGGCUUAUCAAGGCUACGAUCUGUAACCGGUCUUAGAGGACGGUCGGGCACACUGACACUGAAUAACGGGUCAGACUCCUACGGGAGGCAGCAGUCGGGAAUUUUGGGCAAUGGGCGAAAGCCUGACCCAGCAGCGCCGCGUGAAGGAUGAAGUAUUUCGGUAUGUAAACGUCGAAAGAAUAGGAAGAAUUAAUGACGGUACUAUUUAUAAGGUCCGGCUAACUACGUGCCAGCCGCCGCGGUAA